rnacentral:rRNA from 1 species
CUGUCCGAGAGGACGCCCAGCCACACUGACUGAGACACGUCCAGACUCUACGGAGGCAGCAGUGGGGAUUUUGACAUGGCGAAAGCUGAUCAGCAUGCGCGUGAGUGAGAGCCUUCGGGUGUAAAGCUCUUUGUCAGGGAAGAACGUUGGGGGCUAAUAUCCUCGCUAAUGACGGUACCUGAAGAUAAGCACCGGCUAACUACGUGCCAGCAGCCGCGGUAAUACGUAGGGUGCAAGCGUUAAUCGGAAUUACUGGGCGUAAAGCGUGCGCAGGCGGUUUUGUAAGUCUGACGUGAAAUCCCCGGGCUCAACCUGGGAAUUGCGUUGGAGACUGCAAGGCUAGAAUCUGGCAGAGGGGGGUAGAAUUCCACGUGUAGCAGUGAAAUGCGUAGAGAUGUGGAGGAACACCGAUGGCGAAGGCAGCCCCCUGGGUCAAGAUUGACGCUCAUGCACGAAAGCGUGGGGAGCAAACAGGAUUAGAUACCCUGGUAGUCCACGCCCUAAACGAUGUCUACUAGUUGUCGGGUUUUAAUUAACUUGGUAACGCAGCUAACGCGUGAAGUAGACCGCCUGGGGAGUACGGUCGCAAGAUUAAAACUCAAAGGAAUUGACGGGGACCCGCACAAGCGGUGGAUGAUGUGGAUUAAUUCGAUGCAACGCGAAAAACCUUACCUACCCUUGACAUGUACGGAAGACCGAAGAGAUUUGGUUGUGCUCGAAAGAGAACCGUAACACAGGUGCUGCAUGGCUGUCGUCAGCUCGUGUCGUGAGAUGUUGGGUUAAGUCCCGCAACGAGCGCAACCCUUGUCAUUAGUUGCUACAUUCAGUUGAGCACUCUAAUGAGACUGCCGGUGACAAACCGGAGGAAGGUGGGGAUGACGUCAAGUCCUCAUGGCCCUUAUGGGUAGGGCUUCACACGUCAUACAAUGGUACAUACAGAGGGCCGCCAACCCGCGAGGGGGAGCUAAUCCCAGAAAGUGUAUUCUAGUCCGGAUCGCAGUCUGCAACUCGACUGCGUGAAGUUGGAAUCGCUAGUAAUCGCGGAUCAGCAUGUCGCGGUGAAUACGUUCCC